GCCGAAAUAGCUCAGUUGGAAGAGCGUCAGACUGAAGAUCUGAAGGUCCCUGGUUCAAUCCGGAGAGUUUGUA
rnacentral:tRNA from 1 species